UACAGAGGGGGCCAGCGUUAUUCGGAAUUACUGGGCGUAAAGGGCGCGUAGGCGGCGUGCUAAGUCGAACGUGAAAUCCCCGAGCUCAACUCGGGAACUGCGUCCGAUACUGGCGGGCUUGAAUCCGGGAGAGGGAUGCGGAAUUCCAGGUGUAGCGGUGAAAUGCGUAGAUAUCUGGAGGAACACCGGUGGCGAAGGCGGCAUCCUGGACCGGCAUUGACGCUGAGGCGCGAAAGCUAGGGGAGCAAACGGG
rnacentral:rRNA from 1 species